CUGGACCAGGUCCUGAGGGAGGCUGAGGGGGAAGUCUGGGUAUCGUGCAAGAUUCCUGGAAAGCCCACGAUACGCGGCAGCCUGACGUCAAAGGGAAUAAGUUCUGAUGAGGUUUCCGG